CAGCGACACCAUGUUGAAACACCGGUUCUCGUACGAUCACCAAAGUUAAGCAACGUCAAACCUGCUCAGUUGCUAGAUGGGUGACCGCUUGGGAAUGCGAGGUGCUGUCAG